GCACUACUGAGGAGUCCCAUAAUAGGACGAAACGGCCGUCCAAUAU
rnacentral:hammerhead_ribozyme from 1 species